CGUGACCUACGGGAGGCAGCAGUGGGGAAUAUUGCACAAUGGAGGGAACUCUGAUGCAGCGACGCCGCGUGAGUGAAGAAGUAAUUCGUUAUGUAAAGCUCUAUCAGCAGGGAAGAAAGUGACGGUACCUGAAAAAGAAGCUCCGGCUAAAUACGUGCCAGCAGCCGCGGUAAUACGUAUGGAGCAAGCGUUAUCCGGAUUUACUGGGUGUAAAGGGAGCGUAGACGGAAUUGCAAGUCUGAUGUGAAAAUCCGGG
rnacentral:rRNA from 1 species